rnacentral:lncRNA from 1 species
UGUAUGAAAUCUAAUACCUCCAAUGACAUACCCAGUAAACCUUCUUGCCACCUUAUUAGGAUUGGAGCUAGCCAUUUAAUAUGCUCAGUAACUUGUGGACUUCUUAACUCGAUCAACCUCGUAACCUGAUAAAUAAAAUAAUAAAUUAUUUAACUUUUAAUUAAUAUGAAGUUAAAUUUAGACAAGAAUAGAUUCAACUAAACUCACAUG